rnacentral:lncRNA from 1 species
UUCCUUUUAUCGUCAACCCGGAGCCCCACGGCGGCUAAUACAAGAGGCCAAAAAUGUUUGGAGGAAGAAAAACAAAGGCAGGAAGUGGCGGCGGCCUGACGGUGCGUGUGUGUCUGUGGAGAAGGGAGAGAAGGGAGGGAGCCGGUUCAAUCUCUUCUUGUUUUUCCUAACUUCAAGGUCCAGGCAG